CUGAUUUCAAGCUGUCCUCACUGAAUGUUCUCAGUAGGACGUCCCCUAUUAGAAUAUGGCUAUACUGCACCUGACUCCUCAAUUUUAUAGCGCAUCUAAAGACACUUUCUCUCUUUCGCAUUUUAUUUCAUCAAUAUUAAACACUGAUUACACGACUAUGUCCUGAUCCUAUACACAUUAGAGCUUAGCUACCCUAAUAGACAGAAGAGCUGACUCCAAUUUUUAUAGUUUCUUCAUAAAAUUAUUGAUUGCAUCUAAUAUGAUGUACCCUCUAUCCUAUGUAAGUUUUCAUGUACCCUAAGACUACCCCAUCUGUUAUUUCAUUUGUCAUCCUUUUGCAUGUAUCAAACUUUAGUCUGAACAAUCCUAUCGAUCGCCUAAUGUGUAAAGCAAAAGAGUCUAUCUUUAUGGUGGCUUAGUUUCACCAACACUACAGUCUGUGUAUUGUUCAACCAAAAAUAAUUUUUUUCUGUAUUAUUAAAUAAGUUAGAUACUUCUGUUCAAAUUGUUCAACUGGGCAUUAAUUAAUUUAUAAAUAAAUAAAGAUACAUAGCAUAGUUCAA